rnacentral:rRNA from 1 species
UCUGUGAUGCCCUUAGAUGUUCUGGGCCGCACGCGUGCUACACUGACGCAUACAGCGAGUACUUUCCAGCUCCGAGAGGCAGCUGGUAAUCAGCAAUAUGCGUCGUGAUGGGGAUAGAUCUUUGGAAUUAUAGAUCUUGAACGAGGAAUUCCUAGUAAGCGCAAGUCAUUACCUUGCGCUGAUUAAGUCCCUGCCCUUUGUACACACCGC